UAGGGAAUCUUCGGCAAUGGACGAAAGUCUGACCGAGCAACGCCGCGUGAGUGAAGAAGGUUUUCGGAUCGUAAAACUCUGUUGUUAGAGAAGAACAAGGACGUUAGUAACUGAACGUCCCCUGACGGUAUCUAACCAGAAAGCCACGGCUAACUACGUGCCAGCAGCCGCGGUAAUACGUAGGUGGCAAGCGUUGUCCGGAUUUAUUGGGCGUAAAGCGAGCGCAGGCGGUUUCUUAAGUCUGAUGUGAAAGCCCCCGGCUCAACCGGGGAGGGUCAUUGGAAACUGGGCGACUUGAGUGCAGAAGAGGAGAGUGGAAUUCCAUGUGUAGCGGUGCAAUGCGUAGAUAUAUGGAGGAACCCCAGUGGCGAAGGCGGCUCUCUGGUCUGUAACUGACGCUGAGGCUCGAAAGCGUGGGGAGCAAACAGG
rnacentral:rRNA from 1 species